rnacentral:misc_RNA from 1 species
CCGUCGCCAUCAACACACAGGAGUGUCUCUAUAGGCUUUCACAGCGAAAACGAAUCUCUUUCCUUUUUUCCCCUCAUCCUCUUCCGCGAAACUGAAGCGAUUCUCUCCGUUGCUGCGCCGCGGGAUGUCGUUCACCGAGUGGCCUGUGAGUAGGGUUCGCCAGGAGUUCGUCGACUACUUCAAGAAGCAGGGCCACACAUUUGUGCCCAGCAGCCCUGUCUGCCCGCACGAUGACCCGACCCUGCUGUUCAUCAAUGCCGGCAUGAAUCAGUUCAAGGCGCUCUUUUUGGGGACCGCUGACCCCAACACUGACUUUGGCCGUCUGAAGCGCGCUGCCAACUCGCAGAUGUGCAUUCGCGCUGGUGGCAAGCACAACGACUUGGAGGAUGUCGGUCGCGACACGUACCACCAUACCUUUUUCGAGAUGCUAGGAUCAUGGUCCUUUGGCGACUACUUCAAGAAAGAGGCCAUCCAGUGGGCCUGGGAGCUCCUGACAGAGGUGUACAAGCUGCCUAAGGAUCAGCUCUACGUGACCUACUUUGAGGGGGACGAAAAUAACGGACUGGACCCGGAUCUGGAGGCGAAGGAGCUGUGGGGCCAGUUUCUCCCAGAGAGCCAGAUCGUCCCCGGCAACGCCAAGGACAACUUUUGGGAGAUGGGUGACACUGGCCCGUGCGGUCCGUGCUCGGAGGUUCACUUUGACCGUAUCGGUGGACGCAACGCUGCUAGCCUCGUCAACAAGGACGAUCCGAUGGUGGUGGAGAUCUGGAAUCUGGUGUUUAUGCAGUUCGAGCGUCGCGCUGGUGGCUCCCUCACCCCGCUGCCGCAGAAGCACAUAGACACCGGCAUGGGUCUGGAGCGCCUCACUUCUAUUCUGCAGGGUGUCAAGUCCAACUAUGACACAGAUGCGUGGAUUCCUCUCUUUGAGGCCAUCCAGACUGCGACCGGCUACCCCAAAUCGUACGCGGAGAUCCGCAACGACCCCGACAGCGAUGCUUUGGUGGCCUACCGCGUUGUCGCCGACCACAUUCGCUGCCUGACGUCUGCCGUGGGCGAUGGCGUCAUGCCCGACUCCGUCGGCCGCGGCUUCGUGCUGCGUCGAAUUAUCCGCCGCGCUGUGCGCUACGGUGUGCAGUUCCUCGGUGCCAAGCCUGGCUUCUUCACGCAGCUGGUCGACAGUGUGUGCACCUCCUUGGGCCCAUUCUUCCCGCACCUGAAGGAACCUCGCAAUAUCCAGCGCAUCAAGACGGUGCUGGCAGACGAGGAGCAGUCGUUCGCCAAGACAUGGGAGAUGGGGCUGAAGCAUUUCAACCACGCCGUGAAUGAGUGUCGAGCAAACAACUCUAAGGUGAUUAGCGGCUCCGAGGCUUUUGUGCUUCACGACCGGUACGGGUUCCCGGUGGAUCUGACGUGCCUGCUGGCUGAGAAGGACGGCAUGACGGUGGACCUGGAGGGCUUCAACGCGGAGAUGAAGGAGAGCAAGGUUAGCGCAGGUCGUGUGGCGGCCACCAAGACCUUCAUUGACGCGUACCAGCUCGAGGAGCUCAAGACACGCGGUAUUCCGCAGACCGAUGACGCCGCGAAGUAUGUCUGGGAGGACUCCACCGGCGACUUACUCGCUAUCUUUGACAAGAAGAACAGCAAGUUCAUCUCUCUUCUGGAGCCUGGCAACGACCUUGGAGCUGAGGGGGUCGGUAUCAUCCUGAGCACCACGAACUUUUACGCCGAGUCUGGCGGGCAGGUGUACGACACCGGCCGCCUGGUCGCGGCUAGCGACAGUGUUUUCGAGGUGAAGAAAGUGUACAACGUGGCCGGCUACGUGGUGCAUGUGGGCAACCUUAGCAAGGACUCUGCCUCCUCGAUCCCCUCGUCCGCGGUGGUGCAGCUGCAGGUGGACUACGAGCGCCGCCUGCCGAUCGCGGCAAACCAUACCACGACGCACCAGCUGAACUGGGUACUGCGCCGUGUGCUGGGGGAGAAACCGGACAACUUCACAGAGGUGCAGCAGAAGGGCUCCCUCGUGACGGACGAGAUGCUCCGCUUCGAUUUCAGCUAUAACACAAAGCUGUCGAACGAGGACCUUGUGCGCGUGGAGCGGCUACUGAACGAGAAGAUCCAGGCGGGCCUGCCCGUCUACCGCGAGGAGGUGCCGCUGGAGGCUGCUAGCAAGAUCAACGGUCUUCGCCAUAUGUUUGGCGAGAAGUACCCCGACCCCGUCAGCGUCAUCUCCAUCGGCACCCCAAUCAACGAAAUGCUGGCGAACCCCGAGAAAGAGGAGUGGCGUGAUUACGCCGUCGAGUUCUGCGGCGGCACGCACCUGAAAAACCUCAAGGAAGCCGAAAAGGCGGUGAUAAUCUCAGAGGAGGCCCUCAUGAAGGGCGUGCGCCGCGUGGUCGUGGCCACCAAGUCGGAGGCUGACAAGGUCAUCAAGGCUGGAGCUGUUCUGAAGGGACAAUACGAUGAGCUGAUGAAAAAGGAGGCGACGGCGACCAGCGUCAAGGCGCUUUCAGUGCUGAACAAGAAGGUAGGUGACAGCUGUAUUCCGCUGGUGCUCAAGAACGAGAUGCGCGACAACAUCGACGCGGCCAUCAAGCGGAUGAACGCGACCCUCAAGUCGCAGGCUGCAGAGGCAAGGGAUAAAGCUGCAGAAGCAGGCAAGGCCCUCGGUGCGUCGUAUGACGCUGCCGCCGCGCCAUUCCUCGUACACCAGAUGACCGAAUUCGGCGCGGAGCGUGAGGCACUGCAGGCGUUUUCCGACGGCUUCACCAGCACCGUGAGCGGACCGGUCGGCGUCUUCCUCAUCGGCAGCGACGACGAGAAGGCGCUCGCGAUUGUGUCCAUGCCGGCCGCUUUUGUGGAGAGGAAGAUGAGCGCUGUCGCGUGGGCCAAGUCCUCCAUUGGCAAGGGUGGCGGUAAGCCCAACGCCGCUCAGUCCGGCCUCCCCGCCAAGGACGUCGCUGCGGCUGCGGCGAAGGCCAUGGAAGAAGCAGAGAGGAUGAAGGCGUCUCUGUAGAGCGACAUGGAUGCUUUCCGUGCUGAUAAAUAAGUGCUCACGCCGUUCUUGGCACCGCGACAGUCCACGACGCCAGUGCGCUGGUGAGGAGAAGCACCUUGGCUGUGUGUGUUCAUGCCUGCUUUGAGCGUUCUCUCCCAAUAAUAUAACGAUUUGCGCGCGCGAGACAGGAGACAUGCAUGUGCGCUCCUUUACAUUUUCACAAACACACGCACACGCACACGCACGCAUUUUUUCCUCUUCGGGGUCUCUCUUCCAUCGAAUGCAUCAAGGGACGCGAGCCAAGUCGGGAGGGGAGCACAUCAGCUGUUGGGGUUGGGCGCCUAAGCACACUCUCUUUUUUUUUUUGCACCGUUGCUGUCGUUGUUCUCGAUCCACCCAUUUCUCCAUCUGAAUACCUUUUCUUGUUCCCAAAUCUCUGACGAACGUUCUCCAUCAAAGUGAUCGAAUCGAGAAGGUGUGCGGGUGUCAGGCACCCACACCCGCACCCACACGUGCACACCCAUACACUCGUAAGCAAACGGAGAACCACGUGCGUGGUGUGUUUCUGCGUGUGCACGUGUAUGUGGAUGUGUAUGUGAGAGAGGGCGUCUAUAUAUGCGCGCGUCUGCGGCGAGCUAAUUUUGAGGCGGAGAAUUCCGUAAGGAGUGCCAUUCCAGAGGAACGCAAACAGAGAGGAGCGAACACACACAAAGGCGAUGCCCUCUACCAUAAAAGCGGCGGUGCAGUGUCAAGCGUGCACACGUUCGAGGCAUUACCAGAGGGCUAGGGAGGUACGAUGCGGCUGUGCACCCAUUGCCAAGCUUCAUUUGUUGUCUCCAACCCAGGGCCUUCCCUCCUCCCUCUCUCUCCGGCUGGCGCGAUGGCAUGUGCAAAUGACUCACAGGCUCGUGGUGUGAUGGCUGCAUCACAUUACGUUGCAUCCCUAUCCUCAUACGCGUAGUAUGCUUUCUUCGUGUGGUACCGUAGCGAUGGAGCCCCUCAGGCUGCUCAUG